rnacentral:misc_RNA from 1 species
GAUGAAGGACGUAGCGAAAUGCGAUAAGUAGUGUGAAUUGCAGAAUUCAGUGAAUCAUCGAAUCUUUGAACGCACAUUGCGCCCCUUGGUAUUCCAUGGGGCAUGCCUGUUCGAGCGUCAUUUGUACCUUCAAGCUUUGCUUGGUGUUGGGUGUUUGUCCCUCGGGACUCGCCUUAAAGUCAUUGGCAGCCAGUGUUUUGGUUUUGAAGCGCAGCACAAGUCGCGAUUCAAGGCUAUCCGCCCGCUUCCACAAGCCUUUUUCACUUUUGACCUCGGAUCAGGUAGGGAUACCCGCUGAACUUAAGCAUAUCAAUAAGCGGAGGA